rnacentral:rRNA from 1 species
CAGCCGCCGCGGAAUACGGAGGGUGCAAGCGUUAAUCGGAAUUACUGGGCGUAAAGCGUGCGUAGGCGGUUCGUUAAGUCUGUUGUGAAAGCCCCGGGCUCAACCUGGGAAUGGCAAUGGAUACUGGCGAGCUAGAGUGUGUCAGAGGAUGGUGGAAUUCCCGGUGUAGCGGUGAAAUGCGUAGAGAUCGGGAGGAACAUCAGUGGCGAAGGCGGCCAUCUGGGACAACACUGACGCUGAGGCACGAAAGCGUGGGGAGCAAACAGGAUUAGAUACCCCCGUAGUCCCUGUCUCUUAUACA